UAGAAGUUCGAAGAAAUACUGCACUACUUGAAGAUAUUGUACAUCAAUUAGCAGAAUUAAGAAAUGAAAAUGCAAAUUUACGAAAACAAGGAAUAAAUCGUAAU
rnacentral:ribozyme from 1 species